UAUAUAUACACACAACCCACCAUCGUUAAAUCAUCAUUAUCUUCAACAUCGCUUAUCAAUCCUUCUGGUAUCUUCUUCUUCUCUACAUUUGAUCGAUAGUUUUGAUUUCAAAGCUGGUACGGCCGAUCUUCAUACACCAGGUUCUUUCUCUCCUACAUCUCCGUUUGGUGAUCUAGAUUCGAAAGAUGUUCGUGCGUUUGAUUUUGGAAUAUAUUUGAUUUUAAAGCUUGAUCGGUAGUUUUGAUUUUAAAGGUGUUUCGGCCGAUUUUAACGUAUUAUCUGCUUUCGAUGAUCUGGAUCGAAAGCUGUUUGUGACGUCAUCUACCGCGUUUGAUUUUUGAAUCUGUUUGCUGUGUUAUUGAUUGAUAAUUUUGGUUUUAAAUCUGGUUGCUUGACCAGAUCUAUAUGAUAUCCUUUAUCGGUUUUUAGGUUCAAUGGUUUGGGAUCAUCGUUUUACAAGCAUCCGUUUCGAUCGAUCUGAUUGUUUGCUGCAGUUCAUGAUUACCGGUUCUAGGAUUUUUUGAAAUAACUUGUUCAGGUUGACUUUUGUAUUGUUAUCCGUGAGUUCUUGAUAAUCGUUUAUCGUCUGUUUUUUAUUGAUAAUCUUCGGUAUUGGUUCGGUUGAUCAUAACAAGACCUUACUUCAGUUUGAUUGAGGUUGGCUGCUGGGCAGAUCAUGACCUGUUAUUAGGUUUGUUGUUCGGUUUUCUUCGUGCUUUGAUGACCUGUUAUUAAGUUUGUUGUUCCGUGUGUGUAAGUUCUGCCGGUUGGCUGCUGGGCAGAUCAUGCUUACGUCUUUGCCAAGCUUCUGUAGGCUGCCUGGUAUUUUUCUAUUUUCACUUCAGAUUCUUCACUUUAUUAUUGAAAGCUUUGAUUGUCUUUGAUGCUUUUUAGCAAUGCUUUAAAAACCAGUUCAAACGGGCCGGUAGAACCGGUUAAACCGCCCGGUACACCCGGUUGAACAGCCAGAUACACCCGGUUAAACCGUUCUUGAGCCUAAUCCGGUACGGUAUAAACCGGAUUUUAAAACAUUGCUUUUUAAGGCGGAUUUUAAAACAUUGCUUUUUAGGGCGGAUUUUAAAACAUUGUUUUUAGGGUUCUGAUUCAUUUGGUGAUCUUAACUAUGACCUUCUGUUGUUGCUUCUAUUUAUCUUGCAGUUUCUUUUGAUUGAUAUACCAGUCGUGGGUGGAUAGGACUUUUUUUUAUACUUUACACUGGCAAUGGGAUGAACAUUCACAUCACUGCCGGUCUUUACAAUUUCUUUGUUUUUUUGCUGUGUUCUGUUUACACUCUCACUUAGCAGGCGUUUGUUAUACUUGAUGUUUAUUUCUUGUUUGUAGAACCACAGAAAAUAACGGAAAAUCAGACUGUGUUGGGACAUGGAUUGUUAUCUGGUACAUGACUUGCUCCCUAAUGACCUUUCUAUAAGUUGAUGGUUGAUCGUCGUAUCAGUUUUUUAGUUUGAUCUCAUGCAUGCUUCGAUAAGUUGAUGAUGAUUGAUCAAGGUUAUGGUCUCUUCAUGAUUAAGUGGCCACUUGCUCCAAGGUGUAGUAUUUUUGGUGUGUUCUUGCUGUUGCAGUGGCGAGGUUGAGAUUUGUUCUGAUUAUUUAUAUUUUGAGCUUCGGUGGUCAGCAGUUAUGGGUCAGGCAAUGCGAUUAAUUUUUUUCUUCGUGUAGGUUUAAAAAUGCUUGCAUAGGGUGGGCUAUCAUUGAUCUUCUAUCUGAGGCUCAUAUGCUGUGCAUCAGGUUUAUCACUAUCUAAACCAUGGUCAAAUGUUCGUUCUUUUUUAUCCUAACAUGCUUGGUGGCCCACGUUAUAAACAACUGCAUGACCAGCUACCGUUGAUUGGCGAAUGAUUUUCCCUUGCGUGUUUCUUUCGCGAGUUAUGGAUCUUGUAUCAUGCUCAGCUCAUAACCAGUUCAUCUUUCUCACACUUACUUUGUUUGCUUGCUUGAGGUUACCUGUGCAACAAAAACAUGUAUUUUUUAAUCUGUAGGUUAUUGAGAGACGUAUGUUUAAUAGCAGACUUAGAGGAUAUGUCUUGUUUUCUGUCAGCCGUAUGGUUUAUGGUUUUGCUUCUAGCUGGAUUGUAACCACAACAUUCCCUCCAAUGAUUUGUUCUUUGUUUUGGUGGUAGACUGUGGAGUAUAAUCAAUGCUACCAUCUGGGGUCAUAAAUCUAACUACUUUGGCUUAAUUUAAGACGUGUAGCCCCUUCCAUCCUCGAAUAGAAGGUGCAGAAGUUGUUUUCCGAACCUGUGACUUGGUGGAUCAUACAUCUAUUAUUUCAGAAAGAUCGCGUUGGGGUUCUUAUUAUGCUUUCUCUAGAGUUACUUGGCAAUCGGUUGCUCUUUUCUACAUCAAUUCUUAUUAUGCUUUUCUUCCUAGGCAUAAUAAAUGAUUGGACCUGGGCAUCUUGAUUAGUAUCAUUUCGUGUCCUAGAACCAUCUUUCUUUUGUACUUUUAGUUUUCUUUAUAGGUUAAUGUAACAACAGAAUUGUGUUUGUUUGUAGGUUUGUUGGGUGACCGCAUUGUGUGAUCAUAUGCCUCCCUAUUCUCCUUCAUCUCUAAUUUCUCAUGAUUUUUUGUGUGUUGGCUGUAAGUUUUCAUAACAAGGUUGUGUUUUUCGUGCAAGUUAGAGCGGCUUCGUACAUUGUUGUCCAGUCGGCACCUACUUACUCUACUUCCAGUUUUGUAGAGACGUUUUUGUUUUUACCAUUAUUAUCUUUAAUGUGUUGAUGUUGUGCAUGUGUUCUGCAGAAAACAACAAAUGAUUGGACCUAUGCAUUUUUUAUUAGUAUCGUUCCGUGUCCUAAAAUCCUCUUUCUUUGUUCUUCACUUUAUAAAUGACUAGUUUCCUUAUAGGUUCCUAUAACAAUAGAAUUGUGUGUGUGUGUGUAGGUUUGUUGCGUGACCAGGACCCUGAUGAUCAUAUAUGCGGGCUCUCUUUGAAUCUUAUUGCUAACUUUUGUAUAUUUAUCGUGUCCUUUUUUAAUAUCGUUAAACUACAUAAAUCUUGUUUAUUUGCUAAUAGGUCUGGAAUACUCUGUCUUUGCUUGGACCUUUGUCUUUGCUGGACCUUUGUCUUUGUUUGUUGCCGACUUUGGGGGGUGUCUCUAUGGGAAGUGAACAGGAGCAUCGUAUUAGAUUGUGUUAUUCCUUUUAGUGAACAAGUUCUGUUUUUUAUCCACAUUUGUCUUCCUUUGACUUUGAUAUAAUUUUGAUCUAGGCUCGGUAUAUUGAAGAUGGUUGGAUUGCCGUGCCUGCUCGUGGAUCAUCGUGUUCAAUUACUUCCCACUACUAUGUUCUUUCUCUGAUCUCUUAUUCCGUCUUCUGUGUUUCUUUGGAUGAUGAUAUUAUGUUUUGUGUGUAGAUUUGUGUGGCUUCAAUCGUUGUUCUCCAAUUACAGUCUGCCGGUUUUUCUUAAGUUCUUAUGUUUAUUCUAUGUUACGAUUGUUCAUCUCUUUACAUCAUGACGGGGACUUGAUGGUGUUGACGAUACUAUGUAUAUGUUUUGCAGAAAGAGCGACACUGGAUUGGACUUCUAGAUAUUGAUUAGUAUCAUUUCGUGUCCUAAUAUCCUCUUUCUUUAUUCCAUAUUAACUAGUUUUUUAAAUAGGUUUCUGCAACAAGAGAGUUGUUUGUUUGUAGGUUUGUUGGGUGACCAGCAUCCUUAUGAUGGAGUUUAUUGCAAACCUUCGGUGUAAGCUGUAAGUUUGCAUAACAAGGUCAUGUUUUGUGUGUUGGUUGGACGCCCUCGUACAUUGUUGUCCAGACACUGCCUACUUACUGUACAUCUAUUUUUGAAGAAAUGUUUUUAUUUUACCAUUAUUGUUUUUCUAUCUUUCUAUCUUCUUGGGGAACUUGUAGAAGGAGCUUCGUGUUAAUAUUGUUGCAUGUGUUUUGUAGAAAAAAAAACAAAUGAUUGGACCUGGGCAUCUUGAUUAGUAUCAUUUCGUGUCCUAGAACCAUCUUUCUUUUGUACUUCUUGUUUUCUUUAUAAGUUUAUGUAACAGAGUUGUGUUUGUUUGUAGAUUUGUUGGGUGACCGCAUUAUGUGAUCAUAUGCCUCACUAUUCUCCUUCAUCUCUAAUUUCUCAAGAUUUUCUGUGUGUUAGCUGUAAGUUUUCAUAACAAGGUUGUGUUUUUCGUGUAGGUUAAGAGCGGCUUCGUACAUUGUUGUCCAGUCGGCACCUACUUACUGUACUUCUAGUUUUGUAGAGAUGUUUCUGUUUUUACCAUUAUUAUUUUUCUCUCUUUAUAUCUUCGUGGGAACUUUAGUGUUGAUGUUGUGCAUGUGUUCUGCAGAAAAAAACACCAAGGGAUUGGACCUACGCAUUUUGAUUAGUAUCAUUCCGGGUCCUAAAAUCCUCUUUGUUCUUCACUCUAUAAAUGACUAGUUUCCUCUUAGGUUCCUAUAACAAAAGAAUUUUGUUUGUUUGUAGGUUUGUUGCGUGACCUGGACCAUGAUGAUCAUAUAUGCGGGCUCUUUUUGAAUCUUAUUGCAAACUUUCGUAUAUUUAUUGUCUCCCUUUUUAAUAUCGUUAAAGCACUUAAAUCUUGCUUAAUUGCUAAUAGGUCUGGAAUACUCUCUCUUUGCUUGGACCUUUGUCUUUGUUUGUUGCUGACCUUGGGGGGUGUCCCGAUGGAAAGUGAACAGGAGCAUCAUAUUAGAUUGUGUUAUUCCUUUUAGUGAACAAGUUCUGUUUUCUAUCCUCGUUUGUCUUCCUUUGACUUCGAUAUAAUUUUGAUCUAGGCUCGGUAUAUUGAAGAUGGUUGGAUUGCCGUGCCUGCUCGUGGAUCAUCGUGUUCAAAUUAGCGUGGCUUCAAACGUUGUUCUCCAGUUACAGCCUGCCGGUUAUCUUAAAUUCUUAUGUUUAUUUUAUGCUACGAUUGUCCAUCUCUUUACAUCAUGAUGGGGACUUGAUGGUGUUAACAAUACUAUGUAUAUGUUUUGCGGAAAGAGCAACACUCGAUUGGACUUCUAGUUAUUGAUCAGUAUCAUUUCGUGCUCUAAAACUUACUUUCUGUUUUCUUGGUUUUAUUUAUUGACUAUUUUUUUAGCUAGCUUUCACGAAGGAUGGGAAUUGUAUUUCGUUUGUAGGUUUGGUUGGUGACCAGACAUUUUUUCUCCAUCUCUUGUCUGGGAUGCCUAAAAGGCUAAGAGGAUAUAUUAUUGACCCACCACAGGCUCAGGCAAAAUUGAAGAUGAUUGGAUCGUUGUUCUUGCUUGUGGAUCGUCAGCGCAUGGUAAAGAUGAUUGGACUCGUGUUACUAUCUAUAAUCUUGCUUAAUUUCUGAUAGAUCCGGAAAACUUGUGAUUUGUUUGGGCCUUUGUCCUUUCUGGUUUGUUGGCAUGUUUUUAAAACCCCUCAAUCGGAGUUUCAUAUCAGUUUGUUCCCCUCUCUUAACAAUGAGUACUACUGAUUGGUUGUUGUUUUAUUAGUUUUGCCAGGAUUUUUGUAUUUCUAUGUGGUUUAGAAUCCCGCCAAACACUUGUAGGUGAAUUUUGAAACUACUUGCAACACAAGGGAGUUUGCUGGGUAGGGUAACGAACUCACCAGAUUUUCUAGUAUAGGAAACGAAAUCUAAUUGAAUUUGUUUUUCUUUUUAUUUUCUUAUAUUUUAUUUAACUUAUUUCUUAAAUUUAUGGUUAUUUUGUUCUCUCAUACUUGUGGCCUUUUUUGUCUGAUUUGAGGUUUUUUUUGGCUCCUCCUUUGCUGGAUCUGCAGAUGAUUUUUUUUUUUUUUUUUCUGUCUUUCCUUCUUUGCUAUAUUAUUUAGUUGAUAACCUGGGUGGUUUGACGCCUCUUGUGAUUAAAAUAUUGAACAAAAUGCCAAUCUGAUCCUGUUUUAGUAUAUGGAUUUUAAUUUUUCAAGUUAGUUUUUGUUUUGUUCUUUGGUCAAAUGUGUGAGCCUUUUGCUGUAAGAAAAAAUGUUAUCCCAGAAUUCCAGUUAGGGUAUGCACCAUCUUGCAGGAUUGGAAUCUUUAUUGAAGUUUACCUAGUAAAUGUUCAAUUUUUUCGUAUUUUUCAUUUUUGCGGUUCAAAAAAUUUGUUUUCGAGAUUUGGAUUUUUCAAAUUUUUUUUUUCGGAUUCAGUUCAAGACUGAUUUAGGGUUGUGACAGUUGUGUUUUACUUGAUAAAAAAGAUGUUUUUUUUUUGUGUUUAUAAGCUGGAAAAUAGAUGCUGUUAUCACGACACUUGAAGCAUGUUUUUUUUUGUUGCGUAUACUUUGAUUGGUGUGCUGUUUUUUAUAUAUGUAUACAAGUUUUAACUCUGCCUGGGUUUCAUGUAAACUCAGCCGGUCCCAAGCCCGGGUAAAACGAGGAGGGUUUAAGUUUGCUAAAAACUUGUAUUCAAACUUGUUAAUGCUUUACUGAUUUUCUCAUGAACAGUUCCCUGUGUGUGUGUGUUCCAUUAUGAUAUGGGAGGUUCUUUUCUUUUGUUUUUUGAACAUUAUGUGGUCCUAUUGAUUGUCCUUGCCUGUAGUUCAGGUGAGGCUGCCAUUUUUCCAAUCUGAGGUUGCUUGUUGGAAAAAGUACGGUUAAUGUAAUAGCUUCUGGAGCCUUUGAUGUUGAUCACAAAGAUGAACUCUUUGAUGGAAAGGUAUCGUGCUCAUUAUAUUGGGGCCUCGGUAUGUACCAAUCUCCGAUAAACCUGUCUUCUUCUUCUUGAGCAUUGCCAGGCGGCGGUUUGUGGCUACCUCUGUGUACCACAACAUCAACGGCUGGAUUUUGGGGCCUCGGUAAGUACCAAUCUUCCGUGUUUUCUCUCAUAUCUAAAGUUUUGGAUGAGAGUUCUUGUCAAAUAGAGACAUUCUGUGGUUGUGGGCAGUGGUUAGCAGUUGAGAUGAUAGUUGUGGUUGAAGGUGGAAGUGGAAGACGUGUUAGGUUUUGGUCGGUGGUUGCGGUUGUGGGUGGUGCUCUAGAAGAAGAUGGUCGUAGGAGGACGAAUUGCCCCUACGCAAAUGAGAUGGAUGCCCAUUAUCCGGAUGAACCCAGAAAGUAUAAAUGUGGAUUAUGUGAAGAAAAUGGUCAUAGAGAACAAAUUGCCCCUACGCAAAUAAGUGAUUAAAGAUUUUACAUACGAUAUUGUUUGUUUUAUGUUUAUUAUCUUUUGAACAUCUGUUUAUGUUUAUUUUUAGAUUUUUUUAUUAGUAGUAUUUUAUUAUGUGUGUUUUAAUGUAUUAUAUUUAGUUAAACCAAACCGUAUUAAGCUUCACAUCACAUGGUUGUACUCCUAUUGUUGGUAAUAAAAACACAGGCAAUUGAAGGUCUCA